GAGGUGUACGAGGAGGCGGAGGAGGCGCGCGAGGAGGGGGCGGUGGUGGACGAGGUGGCGGUGGUGGACGAGGCGCCACGCGGUGGAGGUGGACGACGCGGACGAAACGGACGAGGCUGAAGUUGUGGGGGACGAUGACGAGGUGGACGAGGUGGGGUUAGUGGUGGCUGAAGGUGGACGAUGACGAGGUGGACGAGGUGGGGUUAGUGGUGGCUGAAGGUGGACGAUGACGAGGUGGACGAGGUGGCUGAAGGUGGACGAUGACGAGGUGGCUGAAGGUGGACGAUGACGAGGUGGACGAGGUGGGGUUAGUGGUGGCUGAAGGUGGACGAUGACGAGGUGGACGAUGACGAGGUGGACGAUGACGAGGUGGUGCAGGAGAGAUGAGAGGUCGUGUGAUGACGACUUUGCUGAACUUUGAAUCGUUGUGAAUGUUAAUGACGCGCUACCAUAAAAAAUGCCUUUUUGAUUAACAAAAAUCAUAAAUACUUCAAUAAAAGUGAAGUUUUGUACGCGUACAGACGGAUUUACGAAGGUUGUGUGCACCAUUGUCUGCUGGAAAUACUUUGUACGAUUAAUCUUCAACUUUAACAAAGAAAGUCUUCCAAGAAACAUCUUGCCCCUCACCCGAAACGCUUCAUUAUCGAUCCGCCUUUUGCGGUAUUUUUAUAUCUCCCUGGAGUAUUUUGUCCUUAAAGGUAUCGUUUUAUUUUGUUUAAAUGCACCUUGUAUGAUGCAUCAAGGCCGUAGUUAUAAUAAAUAUAAUUAUAAUAAAUAUUGAAGGGGACGCAUCCCCCCCCAAUAUAUUAUAAAAUAGAUUUAUGUUUAUAUGAUUGUGGUUAUGGGUUAUACGUUAUUAAUCCCUAACCUCUGCCAUUACUUACACUGAAACAAUGAAUACAAAACCCAGAGCAAUGUAAUACAAUAACACUAUUAGACAUUGUAAAAAAAGGAAUACAAAUUCCAUCCUACGUGUUAGUUACUUUUGAAAAUAUUUUAGGCAGGAAAUUAGUUUUAUAAUUUUUAUUUUUUUCUGGGGGGGGGGGGGGGGGACAGCCCCCCAAUGUUUACUCUAAGGCCUUGUGAAGCAUUGUUUGACACAUUUAUAAGUAACGCGAUCUAACCCAAAAAAACCUUAUUUAUUAUGAACGCGUUGUCGGCAUUGACUCCCUGUGGACAAUGCCGCUCCACAUCAACGUUCAGUAAAAUAUAACAAAAAAAAUUGAUUAUCCAGUCUUCGGUUACUAAAUUAGCGAGAAAGUAAUCGACUACCGUGGGAUUUCUUAAGGCAAUCUGUAAUAAAACAAAAAUAACAUUUUAAAGUUUUAUUUGUUCGGUCCCAGCGCUCGCUUCCGGCCAAAGGUAAAAUUUCGUCUUUAAGUAUUUCUUUAAUAUUUAUUUUAACGUAAGAUGAGAAUGCAGUUUACAAGGGGCAACUUUACCUUAAAAAGUGUAAAGAAAUGUGAUUUUGUUGAAGUGAAAUUGUUUACAUUAAGACUAUGCUUUACCAUACAAACCACGCAUGGUAAAUUAUCUUGAACGUUAUUAACGUUUAAUUGGUGUUUUUAAUCGAUAAUUGAUCACUUUAACUCGUUCCCGCCAAAAUGUUUGGGUGUUGUGGAAAUGUAAUUUUAAACGUUUAUAGACUUUAUGUUAAUGUAACUUGCGGUUUAUAACGGCAGCUUUACCUCGAACAAUGUAAGAAACCACGAUUACAUUUAUGAUUACAUUUAAAACAUUAUGACAUGUUUAAUAAUGGUCGUUAACAGCUGUAUUGUUUACCUCAUGAGAUAUUACUGCAAUAAAGUUAUGGAUGCAAUAAAGUUGUUUACAUACA